rnacentral:rRNA from 1 species
CCUACGGGAGGCAGCAGUGGGGAAUAUUGGACAAUGGGGGGAACCCUGAUCCAGCGACGCCGCGUGAGUGAAGAAGUAUUUCGGUAUGUAAAGCUCUAUCAGCAGGGAAGAAAAUGACGGUACCUGAGUAAGAAGCCCCGGCUAACUACGUGCCAGCAGCCGCGGUAAUACGUAGGGGGCAAGCGUUAUCCGGAUUUACUGGGUGUAAAGGGAGCGUAGACGGCAGUGCAAGUCUGGAGUGAAAGGCGGGGGCUCAACCCCCGGACUGCUCUGGAAACUGUACGGCUGGAGUGCAGGAGAGGUAAGUGGAAUUCCUAGUGUAGCGGUGAAAUGCGUAGAUAUUAGGAGGAACACCGGUGGCGAAGGCGGCUUACUGGACUGUAACUGACGUUGAGGCUCGAAAGCGUGGGGAGCAAACAGGAUUAGAUACCCCGGUAGUC